rnacentral:tRNA from 1 species
GAGGGUAUAGCUCAAAUGGUAGAGCGUAUGCUUAGCAUGCACAAGGUCGUGGGUUCAAUCCCCAGCACCUCCU